AAUGAACGCUGGCGGCGUGCUUUACACAUGCAGGUCGAGCGAGGCGUGUAGCAAUACACAGUCGAGCGGCGAACGGGUGAGUAACGCGUGGAUACCUGCCCUUGAGUGGGGAAUAACUCGGGGAAACUCGAGCUAAUACCGCAUAAGACCGAGAGGUGAAAGGGGGCCGCAAGGCUUCCGCUGAAGGAGGGGUCCGCGUCCGAUUAGCUAGUUGGUAGGGUAAUGGCCUACCAAGGCGACGAUCGGUAGCCGGCCUGAGAGGGUGAUCGGCCACACUGGAACUGAGACACGGUCCAGACUCCUACGGGAGGCAGCAGUGGGGAAUUUUGCGCAAUGGGCGAAAGCCUGACGCAGCAACGCCGCGUGGAGGAUGAAGGUC
rnacentral:rRNA from 1 species